GAGCACGUAGGUGGGUUUGUAAGUCAGGUGUGAAAGCCUUCUGUUCAAAGGAAGAACGGCAUCUGAAGCUGCGAAUCUUGAGUGUAGGAGGGGAGAGUGGAACUUCUGGUGGAGCGGUGAAAUGCGUAGAUAUCAGAAGGAACGUCGGCGGCGAAAGCGACUCUCUGGCCUAUUACUGACACUGAGUGUGCGAAAGUUAGGGGAGCAAACGGGAUUAGAUACCCCGGUAGUCCUAACCGUAAACGAUGGGCACUAAGUAGAGGG
rnacentral:rRNA from 1 species